AUGCAUGUGUCCUCCGGAGGUGACACCUACGUCAUCAUGCUGUUGAGACUGAGCUCAUCUGACCUCUUUCUCUGCAUCCGGAGGAGGGGCCCAGGAAAGACGCACACCUGUCCUGUCUCAGCAGGACCAGGGGCCAUCAUCUCAUGGCUUCCAUGGAACGAGGCCCCAUCCUGGCUGUCCUCCAGGAGCCCUGCUGAGAUGGUGCUGGAGACACUUAUGAUGGAGCUGAUGGGGCAGAUGCGAGAGGCUGAGAGGCAGCAGCGGGAGCGCAGCAAUGUGGUCAGGAAGGUCUGCACUGGUGUGGAGUAUAGCUGACUGGCCAGCACACCCCGGCCCACCUAUGACCUCAGCCCCAGUGAACGGCUGCAGCUGGAGGAUGUCUGCAUCAAGAUCCACCCAUCCUACUGUGGGCUUGCCAUCCUCAGGUUCCCGCAGCUGCUGGAGGAGCAGGAGCCAGAGGUGCAGGAGGUGUCCCGGCUCUUCCGCUCGGUGCUGCAGGAGGUCCUGGAGAGGAUGAAGCAGGAGGAGGAGGCCCAUAAGCUGACGCGCCAGUGGAGCCUGCGGCCCCGCGGCAGCCUGGCCACCAUCAAGACCCGCGCGCGCAUCUCCCCCUUCGCCAGCGACAUCCGGACCAUCUCCGAGGACGUGGAGCAGGACACGCCGCCGCCGCUGCGGUCCUGGAGCAUGCCCGAAUUCCGGGCUCCCAAAGCUGACUGAUCCCUGCCGCUCCCCUGCCCAGAAGUGGAGCCGUCUACAGGGGCAUGAUAGGCUGGUGACCGGGGCGCCGGGCCCUGGAACCUCCCCACCUAGCCCUGACGAGGAGACGGAAACCCCAGGCGGCCCCAUCCCAAGAUGCUGCUAUACAAUGAAGCAAUUUCCCGGCCCACCCUCUUCCUCUGGCCACAAAGCCGAGUUAGGUCCUAGAGCAGCACCGCCCUCGCCCUGGCCCUCGCCCUCUCCUGUAGCCUGCAGGAGCACCCCUUCCCAAACUGGCAGAUUCAAGACCUUGGAAGACAGACCAUUGCCCCGUCCUCAUCUCCUGUUUCUGUCUCAAAGGGGAGAGUUGCCCUACGUUUUUGCAAGACCUAGAGUCUUACCCCAGUUUCAGGGAUGUCCCAUUCACUCCCCUACCCCCAUCCCCAAUGAUAAGGGACCUGUUGAAUGGUAUCCAUUCUCGCUAGUGACUGGCUGAGCUCACCACUGCAGGUGGGUCACAGCCUCACGGGCAGGUACAGCUGGAAGCGACCAGAGAGACAAUUAGAUCCACUCUCUUCAGCUAGUAAAUUUGGAAAUUGAGGCUCAGAGAGGAACACUUCUUCCACCUUUAACUGUAGCCAGCUCCUCAUGAACAGUGAGAUUGUUCCUGCAUGAAUAGUGUCUGUUCCUGAGUCUGGAAUCCUGGGCUGGGAUGGGACAGGUCCAAAGGAUACAUCUCUACCUACCUGUGCCCUGAUCUAUCUCUUACCUUGGCACUGGGAUGGGGGUCUAAGCUGCUCUCCAAGAAGUGUAGCUAGGGGUGGAGGUAGGUUACUCAUUACCCCAUGCCACAGUGUCAUCACAUGGCCUGUGGCCAGUGCCUAGCAGCUUCUUCUAGAGGCCUUCAGACGCUGCUCUAAAGAGCCCAGAUUUUUCAAUUCCAGGAUUCUCCCUUCUGCAGCUGGUCACACUUGCUCUCUGACUUUCUCCAGGAAGUGAUGCCCAAACCCCUGACUGACCAUGAUGCACCUGAGUGAAAUGUUCUAGAAGAGCUUCCUGCAGACUUCACUGCCCUUCCCUUUUCUAACAUGGUUAGGCCUUGAUGAUGGGCAUGUGAAUUACCCAAUGUAUGGAUCACUGUGGAAAAUCUGGAAGACCAGGAGGCCUUCCCGCCUUCCCACACACUCUGGGGUUCAAGUGGAGUAUAAAGGGGAUGGGUGGGGAAAGUGUCUACCCUCAACUACCAGUGCACAGGCAGAAAUGCAAGUGGAUCUUAAUAGUAGCCUAAAUAAAAUGCCAGGAGGAGAUAUAAUCAACGGAGAGUUGGGGGGCCAGAAUCUGUAUAUUCCCUCAGUGGAAAAAGCUUUUCUUUGAAUGAUUUGGUUUUGAAUGAUUUUCACUGGAAUCUGGAUAGAGAAUCAUAGGAUGAUGGAAAACCUCUGAUCCAACACUAUCAAGGUGGAAGAGUUGAUUGGCUUAUUAAUAUAAUUGGUAGAGGAUGAGAAUAAUUUAAAAUAUACAUGUUAAACAUCUUACAUAUUUUAGUUGAAGACAUAAAAAGUUCACUUGAUUGCCAAACUUUUUUUUUUUUUUUUUUGAGAUGGAGUCUUGCUCUGUCACCCAGGCUGGAGUGCAGUGGCACAAUCUUGGCUCAUUACAACCUCCACCUCCCGGGUUCAAGCGAUUCUCCUGCCUCAGCCUCCCAAGUAGCUGGAACUACAGGUGUGCGUCACCAUGCCCGGCUAAUUUUUGUAUUUUUAGUAGAGAUGGGGUUUCACUAUGUUGGCCAGGCUGGUCUCAAACUCCUGAGAUCGUGAUCCACUCUCCUUGGCCUCCCAAAGUGCUGGAAUUACAGGCAGGAGCCACUAGGCCCAGCAACCAAACUUUUGAUUAGGUGCAAGCUGUGCUUUUUUGUGACCUGUAUGUUUUGUCUGGUGGGAGUCCUACACUUACGUUUUCUUGGUUUGUACUUCAAUCAUAACAGUAAGAACAACUGGCAUAAAAGAAUUCUGGAACAAGCAGAAGUGACCCUUGGUAAGCAGACAGCUCAGCUGGUAGGGGCAAAAGUGUUGGGGAGAAUUAGAAAAAGGUCUCCAUACUGUGGGCUUUCUGGGUGCCCUGGAUGUGGGUCAGCAGAUGUUUUAGAGGAAAUGGUUAACCUGGAGGGAGAUUCAAAGGCGGCUGGAUAAGAGAAUAUCUAUUUUUCUUCCCUAUCACCCUACACAUACGUAUUCUCUCCAAAGAAAGGGAAGACCUGAGGCUUUCAACGUGGUGUUCUUUUUUGAGUUUAAGUAACUGGCUGCCAAUGAAAACCUUUCCUGCCGACUGCAGGCAUGUGGACAGAACCCACCAGCCCCCUCGACACUGGUUGUCCUACUACAGGUAAUCCCAGCUGGUGGCUCUCAAAGUCAUGAGGGUCCAGAAGUUGUUCCUCUGGAUUCAGGUUGUUAAAGGGACGAAUGAUGUCUGCCUCCAUUUCUAUUUUUAAAAACUCACUAACCACAAAUGAAAGAACAAAAAGUU